GCUGACGAGUGGCGGACGGGUGAGUAAUGUCUGGGAAACUGCCUGAUGGAGGGGGAUAACUACUGGAAACGGUAGCUAAUACCGCAUAACGUCGCAAGACCAAAGAGGGGGACCUUCGGGCCUCUUGCCAUCGGAUGUGCCCAGAUGGGAUUAGCUUGUUGGUGGGGUAACGGCUCACCAAGGCGACGAUCCCUAGCUGGUCUGAGAGGAUGACCAGCCACACUGGAACUGAGACACGGUCCAGACUCCUACGGGAGGCAGCAGUGGGGAAUAUUGCACAAUGGGCGCAAGCCUGAUGCAGCCAUGCCGCGUGUAUGAAGAAGGCCUUCGGGUUGUAAAGUACUUUCAGCGGGGAGGAAGGGAGUAAAGUUAAUACCUUUGCUCAUUGACGUUACCCGCAGAAGAAGCACCGGCUAACUCCGUGCCAGCAGCCGCGGUAAUACGGAGGGUGCAAGCGUUAAUCGGAAUUACUGGGCGUAAAGCGCACGCAGGCGGUUUGUUAAGUCAGAUGUGAAAUCCCCGGGCUCAACCUGGGAACUGCAUCUGAUACUGGCAAGCUUGAGUCUCGUAGAGGGGGG
rnacentral:rRNA from 1 species